ensembl:lncRNA
AUGUUUAGACCUUCAAUAUGUUUAGUCCUGUUUAGUCCUUCAAUAUGUUUAGUCCUGUUUAGUCCUUCAAUAUGUUUAGUCCUGUUUAGUCCUUCAAUAUGUUUAGUCCUUCAAUGUUUAGUCCUGUUUAGUCCUUCGAUAUGUUUAGUCCUUCAAUAUGUUUAGUCCUGUUCAGUCCUUCAAUAUGUUUAGUUGUUUAGUCCUUCAAUAUGUUUAGUCCUUCAAUAUGUUUAGUCUUCAAUAUUUGUUUAGUCUUUCAAUAUGUUAGUCCGGUUUAGUCCUUCAAUAUGUUUAGUCCUUCAAUAUGUUUAGUCCUGUUUAGUCCUUCAAUAUGUUUAGUCCUGUUUAGUCCUGUUUAGUCCUUCGAUAUGUUUAGUCCUUCAAUAUGUUUAGUCCUGUUUAGUCCUUUCAGCCUUCAAUGUUAGUCCUGUUUAGUCCUUCCAUAUGUUUAGUCCUUCAAUAUGUUUAGUCCUGUUUAGUCCUGUUUAGUCCUUCGAUAUGUAGUCCUUCAAUAUGUUUAGUCCUGUUUAGUCCUGUUCAGUCCUUCAAUAUGUUUAGUCCUGUUUAGUCCUUAAUAUGUUUAGUCCUUCAAUAUGUUUAGUCCUGUUUAGUCCUGUUUAGUCCUGUGUAGUCCUGUGUAGUCCUCGAUAUGUUUAGUCCUUCAAUAUGUUUAGUCCUGUUUUCCUGUUUCAGUCCUUCAAUAUGUUUAUCUGUUUAGUCCUUCAAUAUGUUUAGUCCUGUUUAGUCCUUCAAUACGUUUAGGUCCUUCAAUAUGUUUAGUCCUUCAAUAUGUUUAGUCCUUCAAUAUGUUUAGUCCUUCCCAUAUGUUUAGUCUUCCAUAUGUUUAGUCCUGUUUAGACCUUCAAUAUGUUUAGUCCUGUUUAGUCCUUCCAUAUGUUUAGUCCUUCCAUAUGUUUAGUCCUGUUUAGUCCUUCAAUAUUGUUUAGUCCUUCAAUAUGUUUAGUCCUUCCAUAUGUUUAGACCUUCAAUAUGUUAGUCCUGUUUAGACCUUCAAUAUGUUUAGUCCUGUUUAGUCCUGUUUGACCUUCAAUAUGUUUAGUCCUCAAUAUGUUUAGUCCUGUUUAGACCUUCAUAUGUUUAGUCCUUCACUAUGUUUAGUCCUGUUUAGUCCUUCCAUAUGUUUAGUCCUUCCAUAUGUUUAGUCCUGUUUAGUCCUUCAAUAUGUUUAGACCUCAAUAUGUUUAGUCCUUACAUAUGUUUAGUCCUCGUUUAGUCCUUCAUAUGUUAGUCUUCAUUAUCUUUAUCUGUGCUCUGUAGUCCUGUUUAGUCUUCAAUAUGUUUAGUCCUUCAAUAUGUUUAGUCCUGUUUAGUGUCCUUCCAUAUGUUUAGUCCUUCAAUAUGUUUAGUCCUGUUUUAGUCCUUCCAUAUGUUUAGUUCCUGUUUAGUCCUUCAAUAUGUUUAGUCCUUCAAUAUGUUUAGUCCUGUUUAGUCUUUCAAUAUGUUUAGUCCUUCAAUAUGUUAGUCCUUCCAUUGUUUAGUCCUGUUUAGUCCUUCAAUAUGUUUAGUCCUGUUUAGUCCUUCAAUAUGUUUAGUCCUUCAAUAUGUUUAGUCCUGUUUAGUCCUUCAAUAUGUUUAGUCCUGUUUAGUCCUGUUUAGUCCUUCGAUAUGUUUUAGUCCUUCAUAUGUUUAGUCCUGUUUAGUCCUGUUCAGUCCUUCAAUAUGUUUAGUCCUGUUUAGUCCUUCCAUAUGUUUAGUCCUUCAAUAUGUUUAGUCCUGUUUAGUCCUGUUUAGUCCUUCGAUAUGUUUAGUCCUUCAAUAUGUUUAGUCCUGUUUAGUCCUGUUUCAGUCCUUCAAUAUGUUUAGUCCUGUUUAGUCCUUCAAUAUGUUUAGUCCUUCAAUAUGUUUAGUCCUGUUUAGUCCUGUUUAGUCCUGUGUAGUCCUGUGUAGUCCUUCGAUAUGUUUAGUCCUUCAAUAUGUUUUAGUCCUGUUUAGUCCUGUUCAGUCCUUCAAUAUGUUUAGUCCUGUUUAGUCCUUCAUAUGUUUAGUCCUGUUUAGUCCUUCAAUAGUUUAGUCCUUCAAUAUGUUUAGUCCUUCAAUAUGUUUAGUCCUUCAAUAUGUUUGUCCUUCCAUAUGUUUAGUCUGUUUAGACCUUCAAUAUGUUUAGUCCUGUUUAGUCUUCCAUAUGUUUAGUCCUUCCAUAUGUUUAG